GAGAGAGAGAGGUAGAGAUAGCAGGAGAGAGAGAGGUAGAGAUAGCAGGAGAGAGAGAGGUAGAGAUAGCAGGAGAGAGAGAGGUAGAGAUAGCAGGAGAGAGAGAGGUAGAGAUAGCAGGAGAGAGAGAGGUAGAGAUAGCAGGAGAGAGAGAGAGGGAGGGAUAUUGUGAGAGAGAUGUAGAUAGCGUGUUCAUUUCUGAUUGUUUAUUUCACUUUUGUUUAUGAUCUAUUGUACGUGCUUUCAGCAAUGUUAACAUGUCAAUAAAGCUUUGAAUUGAAAUUGACAGAGUAGAGAUACACAACUAAGACAAAACAACCAGAGAACACGGGUCACAACUCCUGCAGCUUUGUCGCACGCUGGUUCUGUUCAGAGUCAAGGGAGGCUUCAAGGAGACUCUACGGCAGGAACAUCUACAGCUCAUCUCUUGUCAGUAGUACUGUAGACUACUGUAUCUCUGACCUCAACCCAGAGUCUCUCAGAGCCUUCAGUCAGCCCACU